AUUGAACGCUGGCGGCAGGCUUAACACAUGCAAGUCGAGCGAGCGGCGGACGGGUGAGUAAUGUCUGGGAAACUGCCUGAUGGAGGGGGAUAACUACUGGAAACGGUAGCUAAUACCGCAUACCAUCAGAUGUGCCCAGAUGGGAUUAGCUAGUAGGUGGGGUAAUGGCUCACCUAGGCGACGAUCCCUAGCUGGUCUGAGAGGAUGACCAGCCACACUGGAACUGAGACAGGGGCAAGAUCCACAGGGGAGGAAGAAGGGGGGAAUAUUGCACAAGGGGCGAAAGCCUGAUGCAGCCAUGCCGCGUGUGUGAAGAAGGCCUUGGGGUUGUAAAGCACUUUAAGCGAGGAGGCGUUCCUCGCGGAAGAAGCACCGGCUAACCCCUUGCCAGCAGCCGCGGUAAAC
rnacentral:rRNA from 1 species